CCAUUUUAUCCUUCCACUCUGCUUACUUUUGACGGAAUAGACUUCAUGUUACAUGUGCUGUCUCAUGCAUCCGAAUUGUUACAAUCAGGUUUGGCUUAUAAUAGUUUCUAAGUGGUGAGUUCGAACCUCAGUCAGACCCAAUUAAUUUUUCAAAACAAGAUAAUGCAAGAAAAUUCAUCGCUAUAAAAGCAAAACAGAUCUUUUGAAAUGAUUUCUUGAUUUGCAGGUUUACGAAAGAUUUUAGUGUGGAUUCUUAUUCUUUUAUUUUCUGGCAACAAAAUCAUCUAUGAAAUGCCUUAAAAUGCAUGAGCAGAGAGUGCAUGUGAACUGAUUGAGAAAUUUAACCUGUAGAGCCAAUGGCCUUUUUUCAGGGAAAUCAUUGACAGCUGAUAUGUUUCUUUCACCAAUUAUCGGUAUAAAAGUAUUUCAAGUUUCUGAUAAUGUUUCUUUAAAUAUUUCAUGUUAAUCACAUGCAGCUGAUUAUCUGUCUAUGGCCCUACGUCUUAAGGAAGCCGUUGUCAAGUGGCAAUCUUUGAAACUUUCAUUGCUGGAUUUAUGCUUAAAGCAUAAGCUUUAUCUAUUCAAUGGAGGACAAGUCAGAGGUUCCAUCAAUUUCACUUGCACUCUGGUUGGAGAAUAAAGAGCAUUAUGCUAUAAAGCAAGCAGCUAUUUUUAGAUGCAUGGAAGAACAAUAGUCAACCAUUUCCAAUCUUAUUCCUGAAAACUCUGAUGAUGAUUUCCAGCUCUCUCUUGAGGACAACUGGCACCAUAAUGAAGCAGUAUGGGAAGAUGUGAACGCCCAAAUUCUUGUAAGCUAUCUUGAGCUCAAACUUGUUUCUUAAUGUCCUACUCAAGUUUCACCUUAGAUAACCGAAUUCCAGCUUGAUUCAUUUACAGUUUAUAGUUAAAAGAAACGUUGCUUUUUACAGACUCGAAUUCAAAUUUGAGUAAGGAGCUUAGUGAGGCUCGAGUUAAGCUAUCAAAUACAUUUUUUCCAAGCUGUUAAGCAUUUGAUGAGCAACUAGACUUAUUUAGAGUCCUACUCGUAACCAACAUCAAGCCAUGAUUUUCAAAAUCUGGGGCAGAAUUUUUUUUUUUUUGAACAUAAUUGGAUAUCAAUUCCUUUAUUAUCAUUACCAUCUGGUUUAUCUAAUCUAAACUUACCUCCAGCUACUUUGUUUGCAUUAAAUAUGUUCUUUCUCUUGGACUUGGAAUGUGAUUAUAUUUGUCCUACCCUAGUAUUAUUUCAAAUAAGCAUGGAGUUGUUUAGUUGAUAGAUGCAGAAGUGUCAUGUACUCAUAGUGAUAGAAGUGUCAAAUGAAUCAAUCGCGGCACCCUUCGUGCCAUGUCGUGCUGGAUUGGAUAAUUGUGUCGGAAGUUUUAAAUGCUUGGCUCCAAAUACACAACCGUUGCACCCAGAUUUUGUCUUGCCGUGUAAUGCGUACUGACAAGUGGGUCCAUGCUGACUCGUCAUCACUUUAUAAGUCCAAAAUAAAUUUUCGUAGUUUGAAAACAUUAAUUUGAAAACACCAUUAUAUUUAUAAUUAAAGAAUAAAACUUAAAUUGCCAUUCUCGUUGGAAGAUGUAAUAUUUUUGUUUAGCAAAAUAUCCCUCCAAACUAGCUGUUCAUAGCAGUUGGGAAGGGUAUUUUAGGUAAAAAAGGAAAAGGUACUACUAGUUGUUUAGUGGGUUAUUUUGAUAAAAAUACUAUUUUUCAAAAAUAUCCAAUUAGUCAUUGACAGUGGCCGGGGAACUUUGUUUUUGAAAGACGAAAAAGGAAAGGGUUGUGCACUAGCUCGGGUAUGGCACAACCUGCUCAGUUGCCACUCUAUGGGAAUGUAAUGUGGGGAUCAAAACUUUAGCGGUGGUUUAGGAUUUUAUCUUUAUCAAAUCAGUGCAUAUAUAUUUUUUUUGUUGGUAAGUUUGUUUUGUUAUUUUGAAUAAUGUCUCUUUUCUUUUGAACUCUGUUUGUUAUUUGGCCUUAAAAAUAGCUAGACAUGAUAGAUAUGGCAGACUGUUUGUACCCACAAAAGGUUGUCUAUAUGCAUCGAUGACAGUGCUUUCAUUC